CGCCGCUUUUCUUUCCUGCCUUUCCUUUCCAAGAUUAUAAUGCCAAAAUCUUCAGUACGUUUAAGCCUCCUCGCUCUUUGCUUAUUUUCUUGUAAGUUUGUAGUUUCCUUACUCUUAGUUUCAAUGCCAAAGGGGAAGAGAAUAAAAAAUUGAAUGAAAAGAAGGAGAUGGAGAUUUCAGAACCUGGUGCUAGAUCCUCCAAAGCGUGUGGCCAGCAUCAUUUCUAGCUCAAGGCUUGGGACUUUUCUUUGUUUUUCCCAAAUUUAUUCUCCUUCGUUAUAUAUAUUUUUUCUCAGAAAGCUCCUUCAUUCUCCGUUCAAAUCAGAUUAUUUUUUUAUAUUAUUGUUCCUUAUUUUUCUUACCCUUUUCAAAUCAGGUGGCUUUUUUGAUGUGGUUGCUCUUCAUCUUUUAAAAAAAAAAUCUACAAGAAACUGUUUAUCCUCCGUCAGUUCAGCCUUUGAAUAUGAUGGCGAGGCUUCUUCGAAAUGCUUCUUCUCUCGGAUGCCUCUAUUUUUGCAACCUCUCUCUCCGACUUUAUAGGAAAGUCUUGUUAGGGGCAUACACUCAACUCUCCUACUUUUCCUCCAAAAGGUAGAAGAAAAUCCAAGUCAAACGUCAAAGAAAGAUUUGGUGCUCAAGUACUAUCAGAUCACUGCAUCAUUUGGAAAAGGUUCUAUCAUGUGGCUUGGCCGCUCUGCCCCUGUCAAACAAGUUCCAGUUGUGUCCACAGCUUCAUUUGCUUUGGAUAUUGCAUUUGGGAUUGGAGGACUUCCAAGGUUCUAUCAUGUGGCUUGGCCGCUCUGCCCCUGUCAAACAAGUUCCAGUUGUGUCCACAGCUUCAUUUGCUUUGGAUAUUGCAUUUGGGAUUGGAGGACUUCCAAAGAAACUUAAUGCGACAAUCCUGACAAGUGAUUUUACUAAAUUGGAUUUUGAAUCCUACAAUGGGCCUUCCAGAGGAUAUAAUCAAUUGGGGAGCAUUGGAUACAGCACUGAGUAGUUCUUUUUGAAGUUAAGAAAGCAGCAGUUUCACGUAAGCAAGAAUUGGCUUAGAUAGCAUACACUCAUCUUGAGGUUGUCACGGGAGAGCUUAGCAAAUCUUGCCAUGGGGACAGCAGAAACAAAAUUGCUUUUGGAUAGGGGAAAGAUGCAUUGUGCGUUUCAAGCUCUAUGCCAAUGUAAUUAGUUUAUCAUGAAAUUGUUAUAGGUUUUUUUUUGGUUAAUCUGUAACUAAAUUCCAUCAGACACAAACAAUUCCAUUAAAUGGAUCCACUUUGAAU